rnacentral:rRNA from 1 species
GGGGGGGGGGGGGGGGGGGGGGGGGGCGGGGGGGUGGGGCGGCAGCACGGUAGGGGCUUGCUCUUACGGGUGGCGAGUGGCGGACGGGAGGGGAAGGCAUCGGAAUCUACUUUGGCGGGGGGGAGACGGUGGGGAAACUUACCCAACACCGCAUGCGGACCUCCGGUGGAAACAAGGGGCCCUCGGUCCCUUCCACGAUAACUGAGGCCGAUGUCGGAUUACCGAGUUGGCGGGGAAAAGGCCCACCAAGGCGACGAUCCGUAGCUGGUCUGAGAGGAUGAUCAGCCACACUGGAACUGAGACACGGUCCAGACUCCUACGGGAGGCAGCAGUGGGGAAUAUUGGACAAUGGGCGCAAGCCUGAUCCAGCCAUACCGCGUGGGUGAAGAAGGCCUUCGGGUUGUAAAGCCCUUUUGUUGGGAAAGAAAAGCAGCAGGUUAAUACCCCGCUGUUCUGACGGUACCCAAAGAAUAAGCACCGGCUAACUUCGUG